ACAACUUUUCUUAUCCAUACACCUGUGCACAUCUUGAAGGGGGAAGACCGGCGAUAAUGUAGCCAUUUUUCCUCUUUCAUACUUUGUAACAAACCCUUUACUAUAACAUUGAACAAUAAAUGUGCCGAAAGGCCUUUUAAACAAAUACAACUUUUAACAACGGAUCUCUUGGCUCUCGCAUCGAUGAAGAACGCAGCGAAUUGCGAUAAGUAAUGUGAAUUGCAGAAUUCAGUGAAUCAUCGAAUCUUUGAACGCACCUUGCGCUCCCUGGCAUUCCGGGGAGCACGCCUGUUCGAGUAUCGUGAAAUCCUCAAGCCAGACAGGCUUUGUUGACUGUCUUGGUUUGGAUGUGGACUCUGCCGUUGGUGCAAACCGACGGCUGGUCUUAAAUGUGUUAGCUGAAUCUUGGUUCAAAAGGGUUCUACUCGGCGUGAUAAUUAUCUUAUCGCUGAGGACAUUUUCUUCGGGAAAUGGCCCGUUCUUGACCUCGAGUCGCUUCUAAUCUGCUGGUGAAAUCUGGGACUUUACCGUCUCGGGUUUUCCGCAACCUUUCAAUCUUUGAUCUCGAAUCAGGUGGGACUACCCGCUGAACUUAAGCAUAUCA
rnacentral:rRNA from 1 species